ACAUACUACACAAACACACUGCAUUCACUAUACACACACACACUACACAAACACACACACUCUGCAUUCAUAUACACACACUACAAAAACACACACACUCUGCAUUCACUAUACACACUCUACACAAACACACACACUCUGCAUUCACUAUACACACUCUACACAAACACACACAUGCACCCUGCAUUCAUGUACACACACUACACAAACACACACACACUCUACAUUCACUAUACACAAACUACACAAACACACACACUCUGCAUUCAUUAUAUACACACUACACAAACACACACACUCUACAUUCACUAUACACACACUACACAAACACACACACACACUCUGCAUUCAUUAUAUACACACUGCAUUCACUAUACACACACUACACAAACACACACUCUGUAUUCAGUAAAUACACA